ensembl:snRNA U6 U6 spliceosomal RNA
GUGCUCGCUUCAGCAGCACAUAAACUAAAAUUGGAACGAUACAGAGAAGAUUAACAUGGCCCCUGUGCGAGGAUGACAAGCAAAUUCGUGAAGCGUUCCAUGUUUUU